rnacentral:lncRNA from 1 species
AGAGUGUGGACUUUGCUCAGAAGCACAGCAUCUGUGAAGCUUUCGGAAAUUAUCCCUCUGGCUCCAGCCCUUUCUAGAGAUCUCCACGCACAUCUCUGCAUGAAGGUUUCAGAGUCACUGGAUUUCCCAGGGCCUUCUCUUUGCUAGGAAUGUCUGAGACGCGCUCUGCAAGAUGAGUUGGCAGCAUCUCUGUGCCUCUGGUUUUGCCAGGCUCCACCAACAUCCCGCUAAGAACUCUUCACCCUCAAGCUCAUCUUCCCCGGCCCUCCUGCUGCUGUUCUGCGUGGGAACUGCCGCUCUCCCAUCUUCUCCAGCCAGCCCUCCUCUCUACUGCCGCAUCCGCGGCCCUUCACUGUCCUCACGACUGAUGCAUCCACCCUGGUCCACCUGCCCCAGAUGCUCCUUAGGGCAGCAGCCCCGCUGAAGCAUCUUCACAUUCCCAUAGAAAACUGUGGGAUGCCAGACAGGGACAAGCACCUCCAAGAUGAGGGGAUCAGAACUAGAAAUGAAAAGGGAUUUGUCGUUCAUCACCAAGAAAACCAACACGAGAGGCGGGAUUGGAACCCUGUCCCAUGGCAUCUGGGGUCGAUUUGUUUAGGGGGCCACGGGGCUUUUUCUCCCAUGUCCACCUUAGUGCACUGAGGGGAACCCCAGUGAAGGCCAAUGAGGGAAACCACACAUCACUGAGGGCCGACGGAGGCCCCCAAAGCUCAGAUCGCUGUGCUCGCCAGUAGGUCCCCAGACACCCUUAACACAGCUAUCUGCAGGAUUGAAUGAUUGCUGGGACCACACAAUUUACACUUGGCUCUCGUGGUCCGGAGGGGAGGACUGCGCCAGCAUGAGAAGACCAGAGAGCAAGUAAAUGGAAAUUUGGCGAGAUCCUGUGGCUGCUGUUGGUGGCUGCAGCCAGACAGGAAAACUGAGAUGGUGUGAGCAGAAAGGGCUGGAAGGAGUUGGCUUUUUCCAAGAAAUUACAGCGGAAUCUUCUUCCAAGAGGCUGGGGGCCUCUGCAGACAUGAUCUCAUUACUUACCCCCCAAAUCCCCCAGCUUCCCUACGGACCAAGGACCAGGGGUCUCUGCCCAGUCCUAGCUCCAAGGAAACUCACACUUGGCAGAUUUUCCUAAUCGGAGCUGGCCUUGAAGUUUGCUCACUGAUAAUCACCAGAAAGUCACCCCAACAAUGGGUGAUGCCAGAGUGUCCUCAAGCUUCAAGGGUCCGUAAAAACACUUGACUCCCCCAGGACAAAAAUGACUGGGGGAAACAUGCAGUUCUUCAAAGAGAACGGUUUCAUUCUGUACCAAAGGGUGUCUUAAUUUGCCUUGGCAAGAGAGGCAGCACCGUGUUGUGGGUGGACAGCACUCGGGGGGUGGACGGCACUCGGG